rnacentral:tRNA from 1 species
GGGGCUGUGGCUCAAUCGCAGAGCAUCUGGUAGGCAUGCAGAAGAUCCCAAGUUCAAUCCCUGGCAUCUCCA